rnacentral:misc_RNA from 1 species
GUCGAAGCAACGAGGAAAUUAAGUUUAAAAUUAAAUGCAUAAGGUGUAAGAUUAUACGUACAAUCUCAGUAAAAUCAUUCAGCAUGGCAGAAUGUCAUAACAAUCACCUGUGUCAAAAUUUUCCAAUACACCUGGCUCUAACUAAAACAAAAUUAUAACCAAUAGUAACAUAGCACACACCCAGAUCAUCGUCCCACCUACUCUACAAUCCACGUAGAGAUUGUCCUUCGAACUAAUGAACAAGAGUAAAGAAACCUAACGAAUCAUCAACCCUU